GCCCGGAUAGCUUAGUUGGUUAGAACAGGGUGCUGAUAAUGCCAAGUUUGCAGGUUUGAUCCCCGUAUGGGACA